UUGGGGGGUAGCAUUCACAUGAUCAUG
rnacentral:piRNA from 1 species